CAAAACGUGAUAACACGUUGUAUAAUAGCUUCUUGAACAAGAGUAACUCUUAAAGUACAGCCGAAAAGAUGCUUCGCAAGUCAGAGCUAUUUUCUCCACCAAGAUCCCCAACAGAGAGGGAAAAACGCAUCAUUCAGGAAACGAUGCUGAAAGAAAUUAAGGCAAUACAAGAAACUUUGCAAAAAGGUGAAAUAGAUGCAGAGUAUAUUCGAGAAUCCGACAGAAGAUAUUGUACACAAGUGGCCACAAGGGUGACCAGAUCCAUCUAUAUGGGAUAUAAUGAAAAACUGGAAUUUAAGAACGCUUAUUGAGAGGAUCCAGUGGAAACGGAUCCUCGUCUCCCGAAAGAAGGGGAAUGGGAAAAAAUAACGACACUGGAAAAAAAGAAAGCAACUGAGGACAAAACAAAAGCCGAAAAAAUACUUGGUGAAACAUUUAUUGUGUUUGAGCCAGUAAAAGUUCGCAAAGUUAGGGUGACGAUUGAAGAGGAAAUUUUCUACAUAAUCAAGGUCAUCAUUCAUCACUUCCAUCCGAUCAUUUGCAUACCCUAUGAACGAAGUGGAUGUAAUGGAAAGCCAGUGGGUAUUGCCCUGAGGUCACUGUCAAUGAAGGAUCCAUUUCCUUGGGACGAAGAGGAAAAAUCCAUGCCUGGCGGUUGGUAUCCUUCACGUCCAGCUGAUCGGGAUAUACAGAAGAUGAUAGAUAAGUUCAAAACCAAGGCUGAAAAGGAACGGAACACAGUCUUUGAAACAUUCAAAGCUGUGACUUAUCAAACACAAGUUGUUGACGGAGUCAACUAUUCA